CGGGGGCCGCACACACACUAGAACCAGAUAAAGGGGAAAAUAAUCGAUGAAGGAAAAAGCGAGUGAGGUUCACCUUCUCUCUCUGGCUGGGGAUGGAGUCGCCAUUCGCAAUUGAGGGUUAGGGAUCGAGGUGCACAAGAGGGAGAUGAGGGAUCAGAAAGGGUAUCAACAUCUCACCUGCGGAUCAUUUUAGGUGAGCCUGUGAGGAAGAAGCGAUUGAUGAUUUUGGGAAGAAAGAGACAGUUGUUGCAGCGUCGUUUUUGUCUUCCGCUCAGGGAUCAGAAUUCUCAUCGUUCUUUUCUGUUCCCCAUGCAGCUCCUCAUAAUUUCUGGGUACCCUGCACAAGAGCUAAGCAAAACACAUCUCUAAAAGUGAGAUCAAUUUCUUCCUGCUUUCAUUGGCAUUAUUGCAGCUUUGGUUGACAUUACUUCUUG